UCACCAGGUAGGCAGAAUAGUCUUAUAUAGCCAUUUGUUGUCCAGGGCAAUUUUGCCUAUUAAGUCUGUUUCCUCCCAGUUAACCUUCCUUCCAUGAGCCUCUGAAGCUUGAUGUCUGAACUCAGGGAUGGUUUGGAAACCCCUACUUAGGCAGUCUUGGGUCUUCUCAAAUACUGCAGUCUAAUACCAUGUCCUGCCUGCUCUAAAACUGACUCCUGCUCCUUCCGUCUGUUUUUCCCAGUUUACAGAUCUGGCUUGUGUAUUCACUCUCUACAUGUCUAUGUAAGUAACCACAUUCGCAUUGGCUGAGAAGUCAUCACUUGCAAAAUAGUCUUUAUUGAGUUCAAGAGCCAACAUGCUCUCUGGUCCUUCUAAUCCAGCUGUUCUCAACCUUGGCUGCACAUGGAAUCACUGAGGGAGGCCUUGGUCUGCAGUAAAGCCUACACACCUCCCCAGGACUAAGUACGGAUUUCUGAGUAUAACCAUGGAAGAAGACCCUCGAAAGGGAACUGCUGAGUUAAAGGAAAUGUGCCAUUUAUACUUUGGCUAAAUGUUCCCACACUUUCAUUCCUGAAGUUGUGCCAAUUUAUGUUGGUAGAAACAAUGUAUUAGAGCACUUUCCCCAUCAUCAUAAAUACAGUGACUUGGAAGCUAAGGCCCAGAGAGGAGGAGAAACUUGAUCAAAGUCAAUCAGACAAUGCAGAAUCGAGAAAAGUACCUGGACCUCUAUGCCCAUGCUUCUAGCAGCCAGCCUCCUAAAAUACCUCUAGUUGAAGCCAAAGUUAGAAUCCUUCUACGAAACUACAGGAUUAAAAUGGAAUGGUUACAUGACCCAGGCUUGACCAAUCAGAUCAUCCAAACCCUUUGCCACAGUGAUUGGUCCAGGGAUACAUGCAUGAGCCAGCUCAGUACGCAAGGCCCAAACAAUUGGUGAUAAUGAAGAAACUCUACUACCAGACGUUGCGGGAUGCCUCAAUGACCUAAUCCAGUAAAUCACAGCUCCAGCUGUCCAUGAGCUCUGUCUACCAUCUGAGGAAUUGUUUCUUUUUAAUACAAAGACUGGCACUCAUCAGAUAAUAAUUUCUGGGAUAGAAGCAAAGUAUUGGUAUUUCUUUAAGUCUCUUGAAGGUGAUUCUACUGAGCUGGGAUUAAGAACACACUGCCUUAAUCCUUUCAUCAUCAACAAAA
rnacentral:lncRNA from 1 species